rnacentral:rRNA from 1 species
GGGCACUCUAAGGUGGACUGCCGGCUAAAAGUCGGAGGAAGGUGGGGGAUGACGUCAAAUACGUCAUGCCCCUUAUGACCUGGGCUACACACGUGCCACAAUGGGCGGUACAAAGGGUCGCGAACCCGCGAGGGGGAGCCAAUCCCAAAAAAGCCGCUCUCAGUUCGGAUUGCAGGCUGCAACUCGCCUGCAUGAAGCCGGAAUCGCUAGUAAUCGCGGAUCAGCAUGCCGCGGUGAAUACGUUCCCGGGCCUU